UGCGUCUAAAACUUCAAAUACAUCUUUGAAUUCUUGCUCCUCCUUUGAGCCUUUUCUGGAUGAACUACGACUACAUGAUGCGCUACUUCUUUGGGACUUUUCUGUUGGCGCUAUCCUCUGUAAAUAGUUCUCCGAUGACUUUUUAUGUUGUUUAUGAGACAGCUGCUGAGCUGGCAGUCCAUCAAAGCCCAUCAAUCGGGCAAUAACACUAGGAUACCUUUGCUUUGAUUCAGCUUCUCUUGACAUCUCUUCAGCUAAUAACUUCUUCAUUGGUGUUCCAGCUGCUUGUUUCAAAGAUC
rnacentral:misc_RNA from 1 species